UGUGAUCAGUUUGUUUCUAAGUGUAAGACACAAAGAAAAAGUGAUGUCUACUAGCAAGGUUGGUAAGAAACUUUAGCAUGAGGCUUGCUAAGAAUCCUUUUGCUUGUAAAGACAGUAACUGGGUUUGAAGUGUUAGAUUUUGAAAGCCAUGCUGUAGUCCUAUUGAAUGUGCAACAUUUUUGCCUGGUCUUUGACUUAUUUCUGCUUUUUGCAUUAUGUGUAAAGAUAUGUAACCUGCGCACAUCAUAACCAUCCAACAUUAUAUAGUUAUAUAUAUAUAUAUAUAUAUAUAUA